UUUGGGCGGCAAAGAAGAAUGGCGGCAAAGCAGCACAACACAAUGGCGGGGACCAGAAGCGAACAGAAGAGGAAGAACACGCCUAACCUGACUUAUAAUACAUCUUCACCCUUCACACAUUUCAGCUUACAUCAACGCAACGUCCAAUUGGAGCAAGCACAUGGCGGCCUGGACGACGUCAGCCAUCACCUGGACUUAGUCACUCUGAUGAAGAUGACUCCUGUGCAUGGCUGAGUACAGGAGAGCUGCAGAGGUACACGUCAUCCACUGCAGCGCCCUCUCCCACUGACCCCGCCCACAUGCGGUGCAGCCCUUUAGUAGACCAGUGCUGAUGACGGCGACUUAAUAAUCCCAAAGACAUGGUGGUGCUCUUGUUCCUCAGCUUUGCUGCCUGCACUGCUCUGCUCUCAGCAGGAGAGAAGGUCAAGCAGACUCCCAGUGACAUCAUCACGAAGACGGGAGAGACGGCCACCAUCCAAUGUAUUCAUAGCAUACCGAGCUACAACCAGAUGUUCUGGUACCAGAACCUGGACAUGCAGAUGAAGAUUCUGGGCUACAUGUACUCUGACAGCCCCAGCACAGAAGAUGGCGUGGACGUGGAGAUAAAAGGGAGCGCCGCAGAGAAUAAAAUGUGUCAGCUGAUCAUCCCAAAUCUCGACCUGAACAGCAGUGCACUUUAUUAUUGUGCAGCUAGCUACCACGCUGCAGCAUUAGGCUGCCUUAUCAAGUCAUACUUUGCUGCCUGCACUGCUCUGCUCUCAGGAGAGAAGGUCAAGCAGACUCCCAGUGACAUCAUCAAGAAGACGGGAGAGACGGCCACCAUCCAAUGUAUUCAUAGCAUACCGAGCUACGACGUGAUCCUCUGGUACAAGAACCUGGACGUGCAGAUGCAGCUCCUGGGCUACAUGUACAACAGACAAAGCUUCCCGGAGGAGGGUGUGGACGUGGAGAUAAAAGGGAGCUCCUCAGUGAAUGAAGAGUGCCGACUGAUCGUCCCAAAGCUCGACCUGAACAGCAGACUGAUUAAGAAGGAUCGAGAGCAAACAUCGCCCCUUUUCUUCGAUGCCUACGGAAAGGUGGCAAAGGCUGACUUCCUGUGUGACUUCCUGCCUCCUUCAGAAUCAAUACAAAGUCCCAAAGAGCGUCUUUGGGUGGCGACUUUCAACAUGAAGCCUCAGUCUUCGGCUCUCAUCGUCUUCAUCGCCCAUGUCCUCUGUACGGCAGGGGUUGAGCUGAGCCAAAACACAAAAGUUUUCCAGACACCUGACACCGUGUUCGGGAGAGAGAACGACCAAGUCACGCUGAGCUUCAGCCAUGCCAUCCAGAAUUACGACACCAUCCUGUGGUACCGACGCUCUGCCGAGACUGCCAACCUGGAGUUGAUCGCCUCUGUGAACUACAAAACAAGCUCGGUGGAGGCGCCUCUGGAGGGCCACUUCAACGUGAGCGGCGAUGAAGCUGAGCGAGUUCCGACGCCACCCAAGGUGACCUUGCUGAAACCUUGGGCAGAGGAGUGCGGCCAGCAGGGGAAGAAGAAGAAGAAGAAGAAGAAGACUUUGGUGUGCGUGGCCACGGGCUUCUACCCGGACCACGUCAGCGUGGUGUGGCAGGUCAACCAGGUGCAGGAGGACACAGGUGUGGCCACGGACGGGCGGGCCCUGCGAAGCGGGGACUACUACAGCAUCAGCAGCAGGCUGAGGGUCCCGAGCAGCCGCUGGUUGGACUCCCAAACCACCUUCAAGUGCGUGGUCCACUUCUUCGACGGGAAGGAAAGAGUGGAGUAUGCGGCGGAGGUGAGAGGAGAAAAAGGCGGGGAGCAGGAAGACGCCAUGACGCGAGACAACUUCCUGAAGAUCUGGCAGAGCGCCAAACUCUCCUACGCCGUCCUCAUCGCCAAGAGCUGCGUCUACGCCGCCUUCCUACUCUUCCUGCUCUGCAGGCUGACGGUCUCCUCGGGGAAAAGUGACUAACUUCCAUUAUUGUCUUCUUCAUUUAGGACAUUGAAAGACGGGACGUCCUCAUUCUUGCGAUCACCUUGCUCUGCGACAACUUCUUCCACUUUUGUCAUUUGGCAGCUUCUGAGUCAACAUGGUUUGGAGUCUCAGCUCUCAGCUCUCAGGAUGUGGUCGCUCGCUCUUGCCUGCAGCGCUCACAGGAACCACCAGAACUUUCCAUUCGCUGCGACCUAGCACCUGCACACACACACACACACACACACACACACACACACACACACACACACACACACACAAAUUAUUUUCUUUGUUGCCUUUUUUAAACCUCCAAAAAAUAAGCUUGUUGUGAAAAAUGAGUUGGAAUUUUACAAGAACAACUUAGAAUGUUGGCAGUGUUAUUAUAAACGUCGUCAUUUUACUCAACGCAACUCAAAAUUUUACAAGAAAAGUUGAACAUUUGUGCAAUAUUAUGAUAAAAGUUGCAAUUUUACUCAGUAACAGUCACAUUUUUACAAGAAAAGCUUACCAUUUUUUGCAAUUUUAUGAAAAGAGUUCACUCGACAAAAGUCACAAUUUUAUAAGAGAACUUUUUAAUUUUGGCAAUACUACAAUAAUAAUCGGUAUUUUGCUUGGCAAAAUGAUGACAAAAGUCAUCAUUUUACUAUAAGAAAUGUCACUAUUUUACAAGACCAACAGAAAAAUUGUCAAUAUUGUGACAAAAGGCAGAAUUUGAAAUGACAAAUGUCACCAUUUUUCAUUAAAAAGUUAUCAUUUCACAAGAAAAUAUUGCAAUAUUACAAAAACAGAAAUAAUAAAAGAAACUGUUCCCAAUUUUACAAGAAAUAAGUUGUGAGAAAAAGACUGCUUUUUAGUUUUUUGUUUGUAAUUGUUUUUUAAUCUUCUUUAUUUACUUUGUUAUUACAGUAUUUCUCUAUAUGCAUAUUUAUUUUUAAAAAAAAUUAAUUUUGGUCAAAGGGGGCGCAUUUUAAUUUCUUACACACACUUGUUAUUUCAUAUGUUGACCAGAGGGGGAACACUUUUAAAAGCGACACACACACACACACACACAAAUUCUUGCUUGUAUUAACUUUUUGAAUCCUCCGAAAAAUAUAAAAUAAGCUUGUUGUAAAAAAUGAGUUGUAAUUUCACAAGAAAAACUUAGAAUGUUGGCAGUGUUAUAAUUAAAGUCGUCAUUUUACUCAACGCAAGUCAAAAUUUUACAAGAGAAACUGAAAAUUUGUGCAAUAUUAUGAUAAAAGUUGCAAUUUUACUCGACAGUCGCAAUUUUACAAGAAAAGCUUAGAAUUUGGGCAAUUUAAUGAAAAGAGUCGUAACUUUACUUAGCACAAGUCACAAUUUUAUAGGAGAACUUUUUAAUUUUGUCAAUACUACAAUAAUAAUCACAAUUUUGCUUGGCAAAAUGAUAACUAAAGUCAUCAUUUUACUAUAAGAAAUGUCACUAUUUUACAAGACCAACAGAAAAAUUGGCAAUAUUGUGACAAAAUGCAGAAUUUGAAAUGACAAAUGUCACCAUUUUGCAUUAAAAAGUAAUCAUUUCACAAGAAAAUAUUGCAAUAUUACAAAAACCGAAAGAAUAUUAGAAACUGUUCCCAAUUUUAUAACAAAUAAGUUGUGCUAAAAAGACUGCUUUUAAGUUAUUUAUUUAUUUUUGUGAAAUUUUUGUUUGUAAUUGUUUUUUAAUCUUCUUUAUUUACUUCAAGUUAUUACAGUAUUUCUCUAUAUACAUAUUUAUUUAUUUUAGCCAAAGGGGAUGCAUUUCAAUUUCUUACACACACUUGUUAUUUCAUAUGUUGACCAGAGGGGGAACACUUUUAAAAGCGACACACACUCACACACACACACAAUUUCUUGUAUUUAUUAACUUUUUGAAACCUCCGAAAAAUAUAAAAUAAGCUUGUUGUAAAAAAUGAGUUGUAAUUUCACAAGAAAAAGGUUACAAUUUCACAAGAAAAACUUAGAAUGUUGGCAGUGUUAUAAUUAAAGUCAUCAUUUUACUCAACGCAACUCAAAAUUUUACAAGAAAAACUGAAAAUGUGUGCAAUAUUAUGAUAAAAGUUGCAAUUUUACUCAACGACAGUCGCAAUUUUACAAGAAAAGCUUAGAAUUUGGGCAAUUUAAUGAAAAGAGUCGUAACUUUACUUAGCACAAGUCACAAUUUUAUAGGAGAACUUUUUAAUUUUGGCAACACUACAAUAAUAAUCACAAUUUUACUUGGCAAAAUGAUAACUAAAGUCAUCAUUUUACUAUAAAAAAUGUCACUAUUUUACAAGACCAACAGAAAAAUUGUCAAUAUUGUGACAAAAGGCAGAAUUUGAAAUGACAAAUGUCACCAUUUUGCAUUAAAAAGUAAUCAUUUCACAAGAAAAUAUUGCAAUAUUACAGAAACCAAAAUAAUUUUAGAAACUGUUCCCAAUUUUAUAACAAAUAAGUUGUGCUAAAAAGACUGCUUUUAAGUUAUUUAUUUAUUUUUGUGAAAUUUUUGUUUGUAAUUGUUUUUUAAUCUUCUUUAUUUACUUCAAGUUAUUACAGUAUUUCUCUAUAUACAUAUUUAUUUAUUUUAGCCAAAGGGGAUGCAUUUCAAUUUCUUACACACACUUGUUAUUUCAUAUGUUGACCAGAGGGGGAACACUUUUAAAAGCGACACACACACACACACACACACACAAUUUCUUGUAUUUAUUAACUUUUUGAAACCUCCGAAAAAUAUAAAAUAAGCUUGUUGUAAAAAAUGAGUUGUAAUUUCACAAGAAAAACUUAGAAUGUUGGCAGUGUUAUAAUUAAAGUCAUCAUUUUACUCAACGAAAGUCAAAAUUUUACAAGAAAAACUGAAAAUUUGUGCAAUAUUAUGAUAAAAGUUGCAAUUUUACUCAACGACAGUCGCAAUUUUACAAGAAAAGCUUCGAAUUUGGGCAAUUUAAUGAAAAGAGUCGUAACUUUACUUAGCACAAGUCACAUUUUUACAGGAGAACUUUUUAAUUUUGUCAAUACUACAAUAAUAAUCACAAUUUUGCUUGGCAUAAUGAUAACUAAAGUCAUCAUUUUACUAUAAAAAAUGUCACUAUUUUACAAGAACAACAGAAAAAUUGUCAAUAUUGUGACAAAAGGCAGAAUUUGAAAUGACAAAUGUCACCAUUUUGCAUUAAAAAGUAAUAAUUUCACAAGAAAAUAUUGCAAUAUUACAAAAACCGAAAGAAUAUUAGAAACUGUUCCCAAUUUUAUAACAAAUAAGUUGUGCUAAAAAGACUGCUUUUAAGUUAUUUAUUUUUGUGAAAUUUUUGUUUGUAAUUGUUUUUUAAUCUUCUUUAUUUACUUCAAGUUAUUACAGUAUUUCUCUAUAUACAUAUUUAUUUAUUUUAGCCAAAGGGGAUGCAUUUCAAUUUCUUACACACACUUGUUAUUUCAUAUGUUGACCAGAGGGGGAACACUUUUAAAAGCGACACACACACACACACACAAAUUCUUGCUUGUAUUAACUUUUUGAAUCCUCCGAAAAAUAUAAAAUAAGCUUGUUGUAAAAAAUGAGUUGUAAUUUCACAAGAAAAACUUAGAAUGUUGGCAGUGUUAUAAUUAAAGUCGUCAUUUUACUCAACGCAACUGAAAAUUUUACAAGAAAAACUGAAAAUUUGUGCAAUAUUAUGAUAAAAGUUGCAAUUUUACUCAACGACAGUCGCAAUUUUACAAGAAAAGCUUAGAAUUUGGGCAAUUUAAUGAAAAGAGUCGUAACUUUACUUAGCACAAGUCACAUUUUUACAGGAGAACUUUUUAAUUUUGGCAAUACUACAAUAAUAAUCACAAUUUUACUUGGCAAAAUGAUAACUAAAGUCAUCAUUUUACUAUAAAAAAUGUCACUAUUUUACAAGAACAACAGAAAAAUUGUCAAUAUUGUGACAAAAGGCAGAAUUUGAAAUGACAAAUGUCACCAUUUUGCAUUAAAAAGUAAUCAUUUCACCAGAAAAUAUUGCAAUAUUACAAAAACCAAAAUAAUUUUUGAAACUGUUCCCAAUUUUAUAACAAAUAAGUUGUGCUAAAAAGACUGCUUUUAAGUUAUUUAUUUUUGUGAAAUUUUUGUUUGUAAUUGUUUUUUAAUCUUCUUUAUUUACUUCAAGUUAUUACAGUAUUUCUCUAUAUACAUAUUUAUUUAUUUUAGCCAAAGGGGAUGCAUUUCAAUUUCUUACACACACUUGUUAUUUCAUAUGUUGACCAGAGGGGGAACACUUUUAAAAGCGACACACACACAAUUUCUUGUAUUUAUUAACUUUUUGAAACCUCCGAAAAAUAUAAAAUAAGCUUGUUGUAAAAAAUGAGUUGUAAUUUCACAAGAAAAACUUAGAAUGUUGGCAGUGUUAUAAUUAAAGUCGUCAUUUUACUCAACGCAACUCAAAAUUUUACAAGAAAAACUGAAAAUUUGUGCAAUAUUAUGAUAAAAGUUGCAAUUUUACUCAACGACAGUCGCAAUUUUACAAGAAAAGCUUAGAAUUUGGGCAAUUUAAUGAAAAGAGUCGUAACUUUACUUAGCACAAGUCACAAUUUUAUAGGAGAACUUUUUAAUUUUGGCAAUACUACAAUAAUAAUCACAAUUUUGCUUGGCAUAAUGAUAACUAAAGUCAUCAUUUUACUAUAAGAAAUGUCACUAUUUUACAAGACCAACAGAAAAAUUGGCAAUAUUGUGACAAAAGGCAGAAUUUGAAAUGACAAAUGUCACCAUUUUGCAUUAAAAAGUAAUAAUUUCACAAGAAAAUAUUGCAAUAUUACAAAAACAGAAAUAAUAUAAGAAACUGUUCCCAAUUUUACAAGAAAUAAGUUGUGAGAAAAAGACUGCUUUUUAGUUUUUUGUUUGUAAUUGUUUUUUAAUCUUCUUUAUUUACUUUUUUAUUACAGUAUUUCUCUAUAUGCAUAUUUAUUUAAAAAAAAAUUAAUUUUGGUCAAAGGGGGCGCAUUUUAAUUUCUUACACACACUUGUUAUUUCAUAUGUUGACCAGAGGGGGAACACUUUUAAAAGCGACACACACACACACACGCACACAAAUUUUUGCUUGUAUUAACUUUUUGAAACCUCCGAAAAAUAUAAAAUAAGCUUGUUGUAAAAAAUGAGUUUUAAUUCCACAAGAAAAAGGUUACAAUUUCACAAGAAAAACUUAGAAUGUUGGCAGUGUUAUAAUUAAAGUCGUCAUUUUACUCAACGCAACUCAAAAUUUUACAAGAAAAACUGAAAAUUUGUGCAAUAUUAUGAUAAAAGUUGCAAUUUUACUCAACGACAGUCGCAAUUUUACAAGAAAAGCUUAGAAUUUGGGCAAUUUAAUGAAAAGAGUCGUAACUUUACUUAGCACAAGUCACAUUUUUACAGGAGAACUUUUUAAUUUUGUCAAUACUACAAUAAUAAUCACAAUUUUACUUGGCAAAAUGAUAACUAAAGUCAUCAUUUUACUAUAAAAAAUGUCACUAUUUUACAAGAACAACAGAAAAAUUGGCAAUAUUGUGACAAAAGGCAGAAUUUGAAAUGACAAAUGUCACCAUUUUGCAUUAAAAAGUAAUCAUUUCACAAGAAAAUAUUGCAAUAUUACAAAAACCAAAAUAAUUUUUGAAACUGUUCCCAAUUUUAUAACAAAUAAGUUGUGCUAAAAAGACUGCUUUUAAGUUAUUUAUUUUUGUGAAAUUUUUGUUUGUAAUUGUUUUUUAAUCUUCUUUAUUUACUUCAAGUUAUUACAGUAUUUCUCUAUAUACAUAUUUAUUUAUUUAUUUUAGCCAAAGGGGAUGCAUUUCAAUUUCUUACACACACUUGUUAUUUCAUAUGUUGACCAGAGGGGGAACACUUUUAAAAGCGACACACACACACACACACACACACACACACACACACACACACACACACACACACACACACACAAUUUCUUGUAUUUAUUAACUUUUUGAAACCUCCGAAAAAUAUAAAAUAAGCUUGUUGUAAAAAAUGAGUUGUAAUUUCACAAGAAAAAGGUUACAAUUUCACAAGAAAAACUUAGAAUGUUGGCAGUGUUAUAAUUAAAGUCAUCAUUUUAUUCAACGAAAGUCCAAAUUUUACAAGAAAAACUGAAAAUUUGUGCAAUAUUAUGAUAAAAGUUGCAAUUUUACUCAACGACAGUCGCAAUUUUACAAGAAAAGCUUAGAAUUUGGGCAAUUUAAUGAAAAGAGUCGUAACUUUACUUAGCACAAGUCACAAUUUUACAGGAGAACUUUUUAAUUUUGGCAAUACUACAAUAAUAAUCACAAUUUUGCUUGGCAUAAUGAUAACUAAAGUCAUCAUUUUACUAUAAAAAAUGUUUCUAUUUUAAAAGAACAACAGAAAAAUUGGCAAUAUUGUGACAAAAUGCAGAAUUUGAAAUGACAAAUGUCACCAUUUUGCAUUAAAAAGUAAUAAUUUCGCAAGAAAAUAUUGUAAUAUUACAAAAACAGAAAUAAUAUAAGAAACUGUUCCCAAUUUUUUAAUAAAUAAGUUGUGAGAAAAAGACUGCUUUUUAGUUUUUUUGUUUGUAAUUGUUUUUUAAUCUUCUUUAUUUACUUCAAGUUAUUACAGUAUUUCUCUAUAUACAUAUUUAUUUAUUUUUUUUAAAAUUAAUUUUAGCCAAAGGGGAUGCAUUUCAAAUUCUUACACACACUUGUUAUUUCAUAUGUUGACCAGAGGGGAAUACUUUUAAAAGUGACACACACACAAACACACACACAAACACACACACGUUGCAUGGAAAGUGACGCACAUGUAGCGGAUGUUUGCGCGAGUGCGGUGCAGGAAACAGGAAGUGUAGCGGUGCACUAAUUGUUCUCAUCAGCAGAUUGGGGGUUGGUGGAUCAGUGGGGGGUGACCAGAUGAAAGGGUUGUUGUUGUUGUUGUUGUUGUUGUGGAAAGAAGUGUGGUAAUAAAUUCACCGGCUCAGAAUGUAGCUUAGUUGAGUCUUUAUUUGAAGGGACAAUGCAAAGAGACAUUAAGAUAUGUUCUGCACCAGAUUAUAGCUCAAUUAUUCAUUUCUAUCUGCAGUUACCUAAAUUAAAGCUAUACAAAAACAUGCAAAAAAAUAUACUAUAGCAUGUCAUCACAUUUAAAAAAGUCAUAAAAUGCCUUUUCAUUGACACAUACUUAUAAAACAUUACAAGCACCCCUCCUUUACAUCAUAACAAGACGAUACACGCUCUUGUUCACAUCUGUCGUCAUUUGUAAAAAAUAACCAUGAAUUUUAAUAAAUAUAAUUCCUACAGUUGACCAGGGGUGUCCAAAUGUUUUCCGACUAAGGGCCACAUACUUAUACAUUACAAGCACCCCUCCUUUACAUCAUAACAAGACGAUACAUGCUCUUGUUCACAUCUGUCAUCAUUUGUAAAAAUAACCAUGAAUUGUAAUAAAUAAAAUUCCUACAGUUGACCAGGGGUGUCCAAAUGUUUUCCAACUAAGGGCCACAUACUUAUACAUUAGAAGCACCCCUCCUUUACAUCAUAACUAGACAAUACACGCUUUUGUUCACAUCUGUCAUCAUUUGUAAAAAUAACCAUGAAUUUUAAUAAAUAAAAUUCCUACAGUUGACCAGGGGUGUCCAAAUGUUUUCCAACUAAGGGCCACAUACUUAUACAUUACAAGCACCCCUCCUUUACAUCAUAACUAGACAAUACAUGCUCUUGUUCACAUCUGUCAUCAUUUGUAAAAAUAACCAUGAAUUUUAAUAAAUACAAUUCCUACAGUUGA